AACUUUCAGCAAUGGAUCUCUUGGCUCUGGCAUCGAUGAAGAACGCAGCGAAAUGCGAUAAGUAAUGUGAAUUCCAGAAUUCAGUGAAUCAUCGAAUCUUUGAACGCACAUUGCGCCCGCCAGUAUUCUGGCGGGCAUGCCUGUUCGAGCGUCAUUUCAACCCUCAAGCCCCGGCGGCUUGGUGUUGGGGACCGGCCCCGGCCGCCCCCCAAAUGCAGUGGCGACCUCGCCGCAGCCUCCCCUGCGUAGUAGCACAACCUCGCACCGGAGCGCGGAGACGGUCACGCCGUAAAACGCAACUUCUUUAGAGUUGACCUCGGAUCAGGUAGGAAUACCCGCUGAACUUAAGCAUAUCAAUAAGCGGAGGCU
rnacentral:misc_RNA from 1 species